UUCCGGUUGAUCCUGCCGGACCUGACUGCUAUUGGAGUGGGACUAAGUCACGCUAGUCAAAGGUGCGGAAUGGAGCACCUGGCGUACGGCUCAGUAACACGUAGUCAACCUACCCUAAGGACGAGGACAACCACGGGAAACUGUGGCUAAUACUCGAUAAGAAAUUUGGCCUGGAACGGUAUCUUUCACAAAACCGGCUCGCCGUGAGACACGGGCCUUAGGAUGGGGCUGCGGCUGAUUAUGCUAGAUGGCGGUGUAAAGGACCACCAUGGCUACGAUCAGUAUGGGCGAUGGAAGUCGGAGCCCAGAGUCGGCUACUGAGACAAGGAGCCGAGCUUUACGAAGCUUAGCGGUCGCGAAAACUCGCCAAUGCACGAAAGUGUGAGUGGGCUACUCCAAGUGUCAUUCUUACGGAUGACUGUCGCUCAGUCUUACCAGCUGAGAAAGGAAGGAGAGGGCAAGGCUGGUGCCAGCCGCCGCGGUAAAACCAGCUCUUCGAGUGGUCAGGACGAAUAUUGGGUCUAAAGCGCUCGUAGCCGGACAAGUAGGUUCUUGGUUAAAUCCGACAGCAUAACUGUUGGUCUGCUGGGAAUACCGCUAGUCUUGGAAGCGGGAGAGGACAGAGGUAGUCAUAGGGCAGGGGUGAAAUCCAGUGAUCCUAUGGCGACCACCGAUGGCGAAGGCAUCUGUCUGGAACGUAUUCGACGGUGAGGGGCGAAAGCUAGGGGAGCGACCCGGAUUAGAUACCCGGGUUAGUCCUAGCCGUAAACGAUGCGGACUAGGUGUUACAGCGGCCAGAGCCACUGUAGUGCACAGCGAAGGCGUUAAGUCCGCACCUGGGGAGUACGGAUGCAAGUCUGAACUUAAAGGAUUGACGGGGCGCACACAGAGUGAGCUGCG
rnacentral:rRNA from 1 species